rnacentral:rRNA from 1 species
AACGAACGCUGGCGGCAUGCCUAACACAUGCAAGUCGAACGAGAUCUUCGGGUCUAGUGGCGCACGGGUGCGUAACGCGUGGGAAUCUGCCCUUUGGUUCGGAAUAACAGUUGGAAACGACUGCUAAUGCCGGAUGAUGACGAAAGUCCAAAGAUUUAUCGCCAGAGGAUGAGCCCGCGUAGGAUUAGCUAGUUGGUGUGGUAAAGGCGCACCAAGGCGACGAUCCUUAGCUGGUCUGAGAGGAUGAUCAGCCACACUGGAACUGAGACACAGCCCAAACUCCUACGGGAGGCAGAAGUGGGGAAUAUUGGACAAUGGGCGAAACCCUGAUCCAGCCAUGCCGCGUGAGUUAUGAAGCCCUUAGUGUUGUAAAGCUCUUUUACCCGGGAUGAUAAUGACAGUACCGGGAGAAUAAGCUCCGGCUAACUCCGUGCCAGCCGCCGCCGUAA